UGCUUAGUAUAUUAACGGCGAACGGCUCAGUAAUGUUGCGAUGAUUUGGUCUUUUUGUGUUGAAUAACUACGGUAAGCUGUAGCUAAUAAUAAAGAAUAAGUCGCAACCCUAUCAGUUAGUUGGUAGUGUAAAGGACUACCAAGACAAUGACGGGUGACGGGAAAUUAGGGUUUUAUUCCGGAGAGGGAGCCUGAGAGAUGGCUCCCACGUCCAAGGACGGCAGCAGGCGCGAAAAUUGCCCACUCUUUUAAGAGGAGGCAGUUAUGAGACGUAUAACUAGGAAAUAUUAUAAAAAGAUAUAAAAGAAUUGGAGGGCAAGUUUGGUGCCAGCAGCCGCGGUAAUACCGACUCCAAGAGUGUCUAUGGUGGAUGCUGCAGUUAAAAAGUCCGUAGUUUUAUAAAUGCAAUUAAAAAACGUAGAUAAAGUACGUUUAGUUUGUUAAGUAUAGCGAAACGGGUAGAGUGCAUAGUAUAGAUAGGCGAGAGAUGAAAUGACCAAGACCCUAUCUGGACUAACGGAGGCGAAAGCGAUGUACUUAAACGAAUUUAAGGAUCAAGGACGAAGGCUGGAGGAUCGAAAGUGAUUAGAUACCGCUGUAGUUCCAGCAGUAAACGAUGCCGACAAGUAAGAUACGAAAAGUAUUUACUGGGAGAAAUCAUAGUUUUCGGGCUCUGGGGAUAGUACGCUCGCAAGGGUGAAACUUAAAGUGAAAUUGACGGAACUACACUACCAGGAGUGGAUUG
rnacentral:rRNA from 1 species